ACUGGACCCUAAGCCCGGGUCUCCCUUGAACUUGUAGNNNNNNNNNNCGCCACCGCCACUCCACCGCCACCGCCACCUCCACCGCCACCUCCACCGCCACCUCCAGCCCCGGCUGUGGACUCACCCUGAAGGAAGCUCCAGCAUCUCAUUCUCAACGUGACCGCCCCUCGCUCUCCACCCCCUUCACUCCCUCCUGCCCAGCGCCGCCCCAACUGUCUGACCUCGUCCCUCCUGUGAAGGUCUCGCCCUCCCUCCACUUGGCUCCCACUCCGACUGGCCCUGAUGCCCGGGUCUCCCUUGAACCUGUUGCCUCCCCUGGUUCCAGUCAACACCUCACUCGCUUGGAGCGGCUCAAUUCCUGGGCAGUUGGGCCUGGCGCCCGACUCUUCCCUCCCUCAGUCUCUCCCGCCUCAGGAUGAUGAAGGAUCAAAGAGGUUCGGGACUGCAGUGGGCUAUCAAGGAGACCCGGCCUGGUCCAGGCCUAUAGGCAGGAGAUUAGGGCCUCCAGAGGCUCGCUGAGUACACAGGAAUCUUGAGAGAGGGAAGGCACCAGCUUUUAGGCAGGUGGCAAGAAGAAAGCAUAGAACUGGAAAUCUGGCUGGCUACCAUCCCAGAGACAAAGUCGAACCCUGCCUUUUGAGCACCACUAGAGAAAAGGCAAGAAUUGAAGACCCAGAAGCCAAGAGACACUCUGAUCAUACAGAAACCCCCUAGCUAAGAAGGCAAACCCAGACAUUUCUUGGGAAGGUGUUCCUAGAUUUGCUUGGGAUGACAUAAUUGUUUUCUUAGUGAAUACAUAUCUCUCAGUCCUGGGAAGAUUUAGAAUUAAAUAGAGAUAGAAUGAAGGAAAUCAAACCUCAUGGUGUUAUACUUUUGUUUUGCCUUUUUUUUUUUUUAAGAUUUUAUUUAUCUACCCGUGAGAGACACAGAGUGAGAGGCAGAGACAUCAGCAGAGGGAGAAGCAGCUCCCCGCCAGAAGCCCAAUGUGGACUCAAUCCCAGGACCCCGGAUGAUGCCCCAAGCCAAAGGCAGAUGCUCAACCACUGAGCCACCCAGGCCUCCCAUAUUUUUGUAUUCAAAGAAUCUACAUAUUUGGUAUUUCAAAUGCCCCUAAUGUUUCGUGUUUUAAAUACUCUUCAUAUUUAAUAGUAUUUAACAGAAAUACUUUUUAAUGUUUAAUAAAGUGUCUGAAAAUUAACUUUGCA
rnacentral:lncRNA from 12 species